CCUCACUUCCCGCAAAUAAACCCGAAUAGCUCCGUUACCGAAGGGGUUAGUCUCCGGUGAUCCACCGUGUUCCUCAUAAGCAGCUCGUAGCCGUCCGAUCAACGCAUCAAGGCUUCCCCAAGCCUGCCUGAGGGGACAAGUACAUGGCGCAGGCGGGUCGGGUUGUCCAAAAAAGACACAUCCAUGUAGAUGAACCUUGGUCUUGCCAAAUUGAUCGAGAUACCUGAGAAAAUCAAGCACGUGGUUACAGCUGCACUGUGAUAGUGAAACUGGAGGCCUUUGGUUCUUCAAGUACUGCCCAAAAGUGUUCCAAUCUCGCCGCUUCUGCGACUCGUAUCGGCUCAAAGGAACCGGAUGCGGCUGGGGCUGCGGCUGCGGCUGAUGAUGACGAUCGCCGCUACAAAUAGUAGUACCAGUACUGGAUCGUGACGACCCUUCAGCCGCAGCUGCAGCACAAGCUUUAGCUAUACCACCAGCGCCAGACAUGGUAAUCGAUGGCUAAUAAAUUAAUUAUAUCCUUUAAUCUAAUUCUUGGCAAGAAAUAACCAAAAAAACGGCAGAGAAAUUAAAAUUAGAGGAGGUGAAAGAAUAG
rnacentral:lncRNA from 1 species